AGUUUGAACGUUUAGUUUAUUUUUGGUUACAAAAAAAAAUCUCUGACUGCUAUCAAGUGCUGUGGAACAAGGUCAAGAUGUACUUCAUUGCCUUCCCAACAUCAUAUUUAGUAGAACGGGGCUUCAGUGCAGUCACCUUGCUUCUUUCCAAGCAAAGAAACCGACUGAAAAUUACUGACCGCGGGGAUCUACGACUUCUUCUUAGUGAGUUCCAGCCUGAUGUUGAGAAGCUUAUGUCCCUGCACCAAGCACAUC